UACAGGGGGUGCAAACGUUGCUCGGAAUCAUUGGGCGUAAAGCGCACGUAGGCGGUUCGUUAUGUCGGAUGUGAAAGCCCUUGGCUUAACCGAGGAAGUGCAUCCGAAACUGCCGGGCUUGAGUAUGGGAGAGGUGAGUGGAAUUUCCGGUGUAGCGGUGAAAUGCGUAGAUAUCGGAAGGAACACCUGUGGCGAAAGCGGCUCACUGGACCAUAACUGACGCUGAGGCACGAAAGCUAGGGGAGCAAACAGG
rnacentral:rRNA from 1 species